rnacentral:lncRNA from 1 species
UGACUGGCGGGGGCCCGCGCGCGACCUUCUGGGAGCAGUAGUCCCGGCGCGGGGCGUCGCGCCCAGUGACGUCAGAGAGCCCGUGGCCGGCCCUGGGUCCCACCGCUGCCGGCCCAGCGCUUUGGGGAGUGACUUCCGGCCAUGCGGGGCCUCUACCGCUGCCAUCGCGGUCCCGGUCUCCUGAAGUGGAACCCGGCUUGGAGUCGAGCGCGACCCCUCGCCCGUGGGCGCAGGCGAUCGAGUAAGGGUGGGGCGGGCCUCAAACCCGGAUCAGAACCCGCCCUGACCGGCGCAGAGAUACGGGACGCAGCCUAAGCAAGGCCCGGGAAGAAGUUGGGUUUCCCUGCCAUCCUUCCUGCCCCAGCCCCUCAUCCUCAACUCACCAUCAACCCUUCCACGAUCCCAAAUCGCUCGUGGAUGACUUUGGCGAGGGGAGCCAAACAGUUGGUGGUGCAGGACGCGUUGCUGAAACAGCCAAGGUGUGCACGGACACUGUGAGGUGGUGACCUCCCCAACUCAGCCCUCAACCUCCUCAGAGGCGCCAAUGCUGACUGCUGUCAGCCAGCCCAGACCCUUUCUCCAUAUGCUGCCCGGGACGUGGACUCUGUGACUGUGAGGCCUGCCCGGCUGCUUUCUGCUUCCCAGCUCUGACAACCUCGCCAUGAACCCUCCUAGACCCUCAGCUCCUGCAAUAGGAAGCUGGCUGCCAAAGGCCAGGAGGGUCCCUGAAAACAGACACUGCAUUAAAGAAAAAGCUCCUGGAGGACUCCUGAAGCCUGAGGCAGCCUUGGGGCAGCAGUGGCUCAUGGUUUACAUUGGAAAGGUUUAUCAUGAGUAACCGGGUGCUUUGCUUCUGUGAUUCUUGGCCAGUGUCGGUCUGUUUCCUUUGCCAUUGAGCCUGCUCCCCUCAAUGGGGGGUUCAAUCAAUGUUUGUGGGGUUUGUUUGUUUUGAGACAGGGUCUUCCUCUGUCGCCCAGGCUGGAGUGCAGUGGUGCAAUCAGAGCUCACUGCAGCCUUGAUCUUCCUGGCUCCGGCCAUCCUCCUGCCUUGGCCUCCCGAGUAGCUGGGACUACAGGCGCACACCACCAUGCCAAGCUAAUUUUUAAAUUUUUUUGUAGAGAUGGGGUCUCACUUUUGUUGCCCAGGGUGCUUUAGAACCCCUGGGCUCAAGUGAUCCUUGACCUCCCACAGUGCUGGGAUUACAGGUGUGAGCCACCGUGCCUGGCCUCAUGGGUUUUCUUUGUUUUGUUUUGUUUUGUUUUUGAGACAGAGUCUCACUCUGUCACUCAGGCUGGAGUGCAGUGGCACGAUUUUGGCUCACUGCAACCUCCACCUUCCGGGUUCAAGCGAUUCUCCUGCCUCCGCCUCCCGAGUAGUUGGGGUUACAGGCAUGCGCUACCACACCUGGCUAGUUUUUUAUUGUUGUUGUUUUUUGUAUUUUUAGUGGUGACGGGGUUUGCUCUGUUGGCCAGGCUGGUCUCAAACUCCUGACCUCAGGUGAUCCCCACUUCAGCCUCCCAAAGUGCUGGGAUGACAGGCAUGAGCCUCUGCACCUGGCCUCGUGUUUUUUUUUUAGUUAGCCAUUUUAUACGUGUUUACUGAACACCUGUCCUGUGCCCAUAUUCUAAGUGCCUUACCUGCAUUAAACUCAUGUAACCUUCACAACCCGAUGAGGAAGUGCUACCGCUGUCAUUUUUUGCAUUUUUUUACUGCUGUCAGGGCAGAGGGGAGGGGAGUGAGAGGGAGAGCCUGCUGGAGUGCAGGUGGCUGGUCCCACCUCGGGUCUGCACUCCUGUUUCCACUGCCUGAAUGAAUGAAUGAAUGGGCUGCCCUGCAAAGCCAUCACACAUGCAUGGUUAUCCUCUUCCUGUCUCCUGCUCUGUCAGUCCACUUUCCAUCAUCUGGCCCAACGAGCUCUUCUCAGAUACCCCCCAUUUCCUGCCUUCCAAAUUAGGGACACUUGCGAUUCCUCUGCAACAAUUGCUGAGUUGGCCUGAGGCAAAGACUGUGCCCCCAGAAGACCCCAGGCCCUCCCCAAGGCUGUC